GCUGGGCAUACUGAUGUGGGCCUGCAGUCCCAGCUACUCAGGAGGCUGAGGCAGAGGAAUUGCUUGAGCCUAGGAGUUUGAGGCUGUAGUAUGUUAUGAAUGCCUGUGAAUAUCUACUGUGCUCCAGCCUGGGCAACAUAGCAAGACCCUGUCUCUA
ensembl:misc_RNA Metazoa_SRP Metazoan signal recognition particle RNA